rnacentral:rRNA from 1 species
UACGAAGGGGGCUAGCGUUGCUCGGAAUCACUGGGCGUAAAGGGCGCGUAGGCGGCCAUUCAAGUCGGGGGUGAAAGCCUGUGGCUCAACCACAGAAUUGCCUUCGAUACUGUUUGGCUUGAGUUUGGUAGAGGUUGGUGGAACUGCGAGUGUAGAGGUGAAAUUCGUAGAUAUUCGCAAGAACACCAGUGGCGAAGGCGGCCAACUGGACCAACACUGACGCUGAGGCGCGAAAGCGUGGGGAGCAAACAGGG